rnacentral:rRNA from 1 species
AUUGAACGCUGGCGGCAGGCCUAACACAUGCAAGUCGAACGAGUGGCGGACGGGUGAGUAAUGUCUGGAAAACUGCCUGAUGGAGGGGUAUAACGACUGGAAACGGUAGCAAAUACCGCUUACCAUCAUUUGUGCCCAUAUGGGAUUAGCUUGUUGGUGGGGUAAAGGAUAACAAAGGCGACGAUCCCUAGCUGGUCUGAGAGGAUGACCGGCCAAACGGGAACUGGGACACGGCCCAGACUCCUACGGGAGGCAGCAGUGGGGAAUAUUGCACAAUGGGCGAAAGCCUGAUGGAGCCAUGCGGCGUGUAUGAAGAAGGCUUUCGGGUUGUAAAGUACUUUCAGCGGGGAGGCGUUACCCGAAGAAGAAGCACCGGCUAACUACGUGCCAGCAGCCGCGGUAAUUC